rnacentral:rRNA from 1 species
AUUGAACGCUGGCGGCAUGCCUUACACAUGCAAGUCGAACGGUAACGGGCCUUCGGGUGCCGACGAGUGGCGAACGGGUGAGUAAUACAUCGGAACGUGCCCGAUCGUGGGGGAUAACGAGGCGAAAGCUUUGCUAAUACCGCAUACGAUCUACGGAUGAAAGCAGGGGACCGCAAGGCCUUGCGCGGACGGAGCGGCCGAUGGCAGAUUAGGUAGUUGGUGGGAUAAAAGCUUACCAAGCCGACGAUCUGUAGCUGGUCUGAGAGGAUGAUCAGCCACACUGGGACUGAGACACGGCCCAGACUCCUACGGGAGGCAGCAGUGGGGAAUUUUGGACAAUGGGCGCAAGCCUGAUCCAGCCAUGCCGCGUGCAGGAUGAAGGCCUUCGGGUUGUAAACUGCUUUUGUACGGAACGAAAAGCCUUCUUUUAAUACAGGGGGGUCAUGACGGUACCGUAAGAAUAAGCACCGGCUAACUACGUG